rnacentral:rRNA from 1 species
UAAGGAAUAUUGGACAAUGGAGGCAACUCUGAUCCAGCCAUGCCGCGUGAAGGAAUAAGGCCCUAGGGGUUGUAAACUUCUUUUAGACGGGACAAAACCCCUUUACGUGUAAAGGGUUGAUGGUACUGUCAGAAUAAGCAUCGGCUAACUUCGUGCCAGCAGCCGCGGUAAUACGAAGGAUGCAAGCGUUAUCCGGAAUUAUUGGGUUUAAAGGGUGCGUAGGCGGACUAAUAAGUCAGUGGUGAAAGCCUGCAGCUUAACUGCAGAAUUGCCAUUGAUACUGUUAGUCUUGAGUACAGUUGAGGUAGGCGGAAUGUGUCAUGUAGCGGUGAAAUGCUUAGAUAUGACACAGAACACCGAUUGCGAAGGCAGCUUGCUAAGCUGUAACUGACGCUGAGGCACGAAAGCGUGGGGAGCAAACA